UACGGAGGGGGCAAGCGUUAUCCGGAUUUACUGGGUUUAAAGGGUGCGUAGGCGGGCCAUUAAGUCAGUGGUGAAAGCUCCGAGCUUAACUCGGAAACUGCCAUUGAUACCAUUAGUCUUGAAUUCGGUCGAGGUUGGCGGAAUGUGUCGUGUAGCGGUGAAAUGCUUAGAUAUGACACAGAACACCGAUUGCGAAGGCAGCUAGCUAGACCGACAUUGACGCUGAGGCACGAAAGCGUGGGGAUCAAACAGG
rnacentral:rRNA from 1 species